GGAAAUGAUAUAUCUGGCUGGGCAGGUCACUCAUGCCUGUAAUCCCAGCACUUUGGGAGGCUGAGGCAGGCAGAUCACCUAAGGCCAGGAAUUCGACACCAGCCUGGCCAACGUGGCAAAACCCGUCUCUACUAAAAAUACAAAAAUUAGCCGGGCGUGGUGGUGUGCGCCUGGAAUCCCAGCUACCCAGGAGGCUGAGGCAGGAGAAAUGCUGGAACCCGGGAGGCAGAGGCUGCAGUGAGCUGAGAUCAUGCCACUACUGCACUCCAGCCUGGGUGACACAGCAAGACUCCCUCUAAAAAAAGAAAAAAAGAAAAGAAAAGAAAAGAAAAUGAUAUAUCCAUGAUGAAUUAAAAUGGAGUGGAACCCACUGAUGGUAUGCAGCUGAUAAGACGCUAUAGAGAAAUGAUAUCCGGACACAUGGUGAGACUUUUUCUCCUCUGUAAAUCUCAAUUCUUGUGAUUCUUUCAAAGGGAAAGCCACAGAAGGUACCAGUUAUCCACUCACUGACUUAGGUGCCUCCACUAGAAUUCUCAGCACGUUUUUGCAGAACCUGGGCAACAAGAGCGAAACCCCAUCUCAAAACCACAACAACAACAACAGGACAACAGAGAUGGACGACGGAUCGGGAAAGCCAACCAGACAGCGUGAGGCCAGGACGGAAAGAGGCACAGGGAGCUCUGCUCAGUGUCGCUACAGGGGAUCUCUCAGGCUCACAACGGGCCACUCCUCUAGGGAAGUUCUGGUCUCAUCAUGAUCCUUGUUUGGUCUCACUCCCCAUGUCCUUCUCUGUCCCUCCUCCAACUGCCAUUUAUUUAUUUAACUGAAAAAGUACCAAUCACCCACAUAGGCAUGACAUACUCAUCCAUGUACCCAUUUCUUAAAAUUGAUCAUUGUUAACAUUUGGUGUAAUUUGCUUUAUUUAUUUUUAAUGAAAUAAAUAAAACUUUACAGAAAAUGCUUUAUUUUUCUCUUUGUUCCCUCCCCAUCCUAUAUUUUUCUCCUAAAAAACCCUAUUAUCAGAAAUAUUAGUGUGUAUUCCCAGUUUCGACUUUUUAUUUUAUUACACACACACUCCCACACAUAGCUGUGACAAUGAACUUCACAUAGUAUGGUUCUGUAUUUUCUCUUUGUUUUUCAAACUUACAUAAGUAUUUUACUAUUUCUCAUGGAAAAACUCACUUUUCCCAUCCAACGUUAUGUUUCCUUAAGAUCUCUCUAUGUUGAUAUAAAGAAAUCUAGCUCAUUCUUUUUAAUGAAAAUAAAGUAUAUUUUAUGAAUGUAACUCAUGCUAACCAUGGCAAUAAAAGCUCCAUCAAGCAUGCAUUUAGU
rnacentral:lncRNA from 1 species